rnacentral:ncRNA from 1 species
GAGGCGUAACCCGAAAAGCCAUACGAGUAGGAA